AACGCUGGGACUGUGGUGCAUAACUCAAUAAACUCUACAUUUGAUCUCCACUUACUCCUGUUUCACAGCCCAAUAGUUGAGCAGUUUCUCAAAGGCUGUAACUCCAUUCGGCUCCUGGUAGUUCAGCAGUGGGAAAUGAGCGGAAUCUCCAUUUGCCAUCUGCUCUCUCCAACUGGGUUCUGAAAAUCUGAGCUUCAUGAAUAAACCAAUGAAAGCAAGUGGAGGUAACUCAACACAUGAAGACCGUACUUGCAGCAAAGGCAAGAGCAAAGUUCAAG